GAUGAACGCUGGCGGCGUGCUUAACACAUGCAAGUCGAACGGUGAACCCGGAGCUUGCUCUGUUGGAUCAGUGGCGAACGGGUGAGUAACACGUGAGCAACCUGCCCCUGACUCUGGGAUAAGCGCUGGAAACUGCGUCUAAUACUGGAUAUGUGACGUGACCGCAUGGUCUGCGUUUGGAAAGAUUUUUCGGUUGGGGAUGGGCUCGCGGCCUAUCUGCUUGUUGGUGAGGUACUGGAUCACCAAGCCGUCGACGGGGAGCCGGCCUGGGAGGGUGACCGGCCAAACGGGGACUGAGACACGGCCCAGACUCCUACGGGAGGCAGCAGUGGGGAAUAUUGCACAAUGGGCGCAAGCCUGAUGCAGCAACGCCGCGUGAGGGAUGACGGCCUUCGGGUUGUAAACCUCUUUUAGCAGGGAAGAAGCGAAAGUGACGGUACCUGCAGAAAAAGCGCCGGCUAACUACGUG
rnacentral:rRNA from 1 species